UAAGGAAUAUUGGACAAUGGAGGCAACUCUGAUCCAGCCAUGCCGCGUGAAGGAAUAAGGCCCUAUGGGCUGUAAACUUCUUUUAGACGGGACAAAACCCCUUUACGUGUAAAGGGUUGAUGGUACUGUCAGAAUAAGCAUCGGCUAACUUCGUGCCAGCAGCCGCGGUAAUACGAAGGAUGCAAGCGUUAUCCGGAAUUAUUGGGUUUAAAGGGUGCGUAGGCGGACUAAUAAGUCAGUGGUGAAAGCCUGCAGCUUAACUGCAGAAGUGCCAGUGAUACUGUUACUCGUGAGUACAGUUGAGGUAUGCGGAAUGUGCCAUGUAGCGGUGAAAUGCUUUGAUAUGACAUAGAACACCGAUUGCGAAGGCAGCUUGCUAAGCUGUAACUGACGCUGAGGCACG
rnacentral:rRNA from 1 species